UAGCCUUCUCGCUUUCGAGGUUCUUCCCGGCUAACCGCUGGGGAGCUAAGAGGGAACAGGGUGAUGCCCUGGCUGCCCCCGCAACUGUAAGCGG
rnacentral:ncRNA from 2 species